rnacentral:rRNA from 1 species
UACGGAGGAUGCGAGCGUUAUCCGGAUUUAUUGGGUUUAAAGGGUGCGUAGGUGGUUUUUUAAGUCAGUUGUGAAAGUUUGCGGCUCAACCGUAAAAUUGCAAUUGAAACUGAAAGACUUGAGUGUAUUUGAGGUGGGCGGAAUUCGUAGUGUAGCGGUGAAAUGCUUAGAUAUUACGAAGAACUCCGAUUGCGUAGGCAGCUCACUAAACUACAACUGACACUGAGGCACGAAAGUGUGGGUAUCAAAC